GAGACUAUACUUUCAGGGAUCAUUUCUAUAGUUUGUUACUAUAAAUAUAGGAGAGGAACAGGCUUGGUCUGAUGAACACCAAGAGCGAAGACUGAGAGGGUCUAGACUCUGAAACAGGACCUUGCCCUGGAGUGGGGUUGGUGGUAGGGUCAGAGC
rnacentral:snoRNA from 1 species